UGCCAUGUAAUGUUGCUUUUUACUUAGGUAUGCAUCAAAAGCAAUAAUUUCCGAAGCAGAUCUGAUUUUACAAGACCAACGUGAUAAAUAACUUUAUCUCUAUCAUAUUUGUUUAUAAGCAAAGUAUUACUUUGUCAGGGCUUAUCUCAUCUUCAGUGUCUGGGAUUGUGGGCAACAGAGCAGAUCGAGUCAAACCCCAAAAUUUUUGAGGUGACAUGUCUUUUUUGGUGGCUGUAAAUUUCCAUCCAAUAUGGCUUGCACAGAUCUUACACUGGGCGAUAGUCCAAGCAUACCUACAAAAUUAAAGAAAGGUAUCAGCUAAGGAAACCAUUUCUGUACCCCAAGCCUGUUACUGUAUAAAGCUGUUUCAAGACAGAGCCAAAUUCUAUAUGGUUUCCUGAAACAAACUUGAUUGUGCUCUUAAACUGUGUUUAUUUUUUUCUUGGCAUUGGAGAAAAAACUUAAUAUGGAUUAAUUCACAGGGGUCUUUCGUAUUGCAGUCGUGUUACAAAACACUAUCCAAGUCCAGAGAUACUUUUGUGUGUGACUUAAAAUGAGAGGUGGGAUGAAGCGAUACAUGUGCUUCUCACCUAAAAUCUAAGAACUUCUCUGAAGUAAGAAUGAUCUUGUCAGAUACUUCACCCAGAAAAUCAAACUAUAACUAGAAACCAAACCAUAUGACUGAAACCAUUUCUUAACUUCCCUAGGUACAUCCCACAUGUCUAUUAGCAAGUUAAUCCUAGUUUUAGUCCUUAGCAAGGGUGUUAAAUAAGAUUGAACAAUCCAAGUAAUAUGGUCUUAGAUACAAAAUGGCAGUUAUUAUCUUUAAUUAAUUUACUUUAGAGAGAGUCUUAAGUAGACUCCACAGGGAGUGCAGAGCCCGAGGCAGGAGUUGAUCUCAGCUACCUUGAGAUCAGGACCUGAAAAGUCAGAUGCUUAUAACCAACUGCCACUCAGGCGCCCCCAAAAUGAUUAUUAUAAUCACUAAUCCACACUCUGCUUGCCUCUUUUAAAAUAAAAGACUGACCCAUAAUUUGGAAGAAAAGACUAUUAAUACAUUCCCACAGCCUUAUUUUCAAGAACGCUAACUAGUUCCCAGGUGGUGCUACUGGUGCCAGGCUCAUAGUUUGAAAGCCACUGGGCUAAAGAAAAAAAUUGAAGAAAACUGGGAUUCAGUGGCUUUUCCAGGGAUUUUGUCUGUCACUGCUUGAAAUAUUCUCUGGUUUGAUAUACUAUAGGAUAUGGUUCAAAUACAGUUACAAGGUUAUAUGCCAGCUGAUUUUCAGAAGGAGCUAAAAGGAAAAUGAAAAGUCUAGAUUAAGUGUAUAGUUAAUAUAAGGAUGACUGUGGUUGCCAACCUUUUAACUAUAUAUAGUAAGUCUAUGCCAAACUUAGCUGUUACCAUUCACAAAAAAUGAAGAGCAUUUAAACAGAAUUAUUCAUCUCGUCUAUUUUUGAUUACAUUUCUAACAACUCUGCUUAGGACUCUGUCCAGUUAAGGCACUCUACCCCUCAGAGAAACUACCACAUUACCCAGGAAACCAGCUGUGCUCUGUAGAAGGCCGGCCUAUCAGAUUCAAGUUGCAGGCUUUAUACACGGUAAGUGUCUCAUGCACGUAUCCAUGAGGAUUCACAUAAGCUGCCAUCGGUCCACAUAAGGAUAAACUAUAAGAGAAUCAGCACAGAGGGUAAGUCAAAAUGGAAGGAGAAAAAUGUCUAGUGAGGUUAUAAGAGUAAUAUCAGAACCUCAGUAUGAAAACAGGAGGUUGGCAGUCAGCCCAGUUUUAUUCACUGUACUUGUUUGUACAACAGGGAGCUCAACUUCAUCUAAAGGAGUCUCUGAGAGUGGAAGUACAAUGAAAAGGUCCAAAUUAUCUUUGGGCGACUGAUUACUUUAUAGGAAACAGUUUCCUUAUGUCCUGAUUUAUGAUUUGUUUGUACUAAAAUAAUUUUCAAACACUUAGGUCACACAGCAUCAGUACAUUUUCAGAAGCGUGUCCUACUUUAUGUUUGCCUGGAAGAUACUACUUGAGGCAUUCGUGUUAGGUCCUUAAUUACUAAGAACUUACACAGAUGACCAAGCAGGAAUACGGAAAGAAGGACUGCCCCUUGUUUGACUUUACCAUGCUUCAUUACUUGUGAAUAAUAUCUUACAUAACCAUUGCUGCUGAGUACCCAGUCAGGAAGGGUGUCUUAACUUCCCACAUUGCAUUUGCUGAAUGACUGUUACUUAAUGGACGGAAAUAUAUGGAGAAUGGAAAUAUAGUCUUGACUAUGACUCUGUUACAGCAGUUGGGAAAAUGUACUCAGAAGUAUACUAAAAAUGUAGUAAAGCUCUCACCUGAAUAUUUCAUUUUUGGUUGUUAUUUCUGUUUCUUGACAUUGUUUACAGCAAAGAGACGUACACUAAAAAAUUUAGUGGAAAUUUAGAGAAAAUUAGUGGGGAAAAUUCACGUUGUAUAAUUAUACAACUCAUCAAGAAAUUUCUUUGAAGUAUUGAUCUCUCUAAAUAUGUUUUCCUUCCAAUCAUCCAAAAAAAGAAUUUUAAAGCAGGACCAAGAAAAACUCUGAAGUGACACAUAUUCACUCACAAAACUAAUGACUGUACGAAAAAAAGUGACAGAUACAUAUAACCACAGAUGCUCCAAGUGGAAAUCAAGUAUUUUCACAAACUCUAAAUGUCUGAAGGCUGUAAAAACAAUCUGAGUGUAUGAUCCCAAAUGAAAUGUCUUAAUUAUCCUUUGAAUCAUGUGAAACUAGCAAAACAACCAGUUUUCUAAUUACAUGACUACAUAACUGGAUUCCAUAGAUAAUCAUGCCUAAAAUACGGGUGUCAUGAACAUGGUCACUUUACUCACUUUAUUCAUAAUAUCUAGUUCACAGCGAAGUCGUUGGAUGGCACUACCAAUUUUAAGGAGCUGAAUCCUUAAUACAUCAUCAAUAGGAAGACAAGCAGCUACUCUGUAAGAAAAAUCUUAAAGACAUAGUGGUUUUUCAAGUUUUAAAUUUCUGAAGCAGGGAGCUACUACAUGGAUGAAGAUCGAUUUGUUUUUCAAGGCUCAUGAAUGGAAGCUCAAACCAAUGAAUGGAUUCUUUGAUUCCUCUGCACAGAGAAGUCCCUUCUGGCUAUAAUUCAGAUAGAGAAGCAUUAACAAAAAAGGGUACAUUCAACUACUUAGGGGAAAAUAAACCCUUUCCACAGGACGCCAAAGGUCAAAAGACAAAUCACAAACCAGGAAGAAUGUUUGGAACCUAAUAAUUACAGAUAAAGGGAUUUCAUAUUCAACUCUUUUCUGAUGAACACAGUAGGGCUGUAUAAAGGAAUGAAGAGAUACCCUGGACCUAGAGACGAACAGAUGCGCUGCUUCAGAUCCUGGCGGGAAGUACGAGGCAGAUGUGAAUGAACUCUACAAAUGGAGUGAACUGAGCCUUAGGUCCAUCUAAAGACAAGCGGGUUAUAUAACCCAGUCCUAUGGUAAGAGGCACAGAAAGCCAAACCACUGAAACAGUUCUAAUGCACAGGGAGCCCCCACCAGGGACGGCCAUCAACUGUCCCCUUUCCCUUCACUUUGUGCAUGGCUCAGAGCCCUCUUUCUAAAGUAGAACAGAGUUUGUAGGUCAUCUGCAGUCCAAAAUAGAUCAGCUAGCAGUUUUUCUUGGCCUAGUAAUCUAAACCCAAAUCUCAGGACCUAACAAACUUUACUCAAAUUUUAAGCAAGGGAAUGCAUUUAACAAUCUGAAAAAUACAUGGGAUAAAAGGAUUGUAUUUCCUAAAACCUUUUAUGCUUCUUCCUUAGCACCUUCUGUUUAGUCCUUGGUGACUGUGAAUACGGAAGUAACUCAGUGCUACUGUUUUAGAGUUUAGAAUUUACUUCUACGACUACGGGGAAGUAGGACAGCAGGGGAAAGGACCUGGUUCCAAGAAAACGUGCUUCCUUGGUCUUUGCAUGUCUGGCUCUCCUUGCUUGUGAAGUCCAGAAGAACUGAGACACACUACUACUAUGUGCUACUUGAAACUCUUCUUUAAGGUAAUGUAUUUAUGAUUCAAGAGCCAAACACCUGAUCUGAUUAUAAGAAAUUUAUUAAGAGACUCCUCCAGAACUAAGAUCACAAGCUAUUAACUAAUACACAACUGACAAGCGUAAUAGCAAGAACACCUUAAGGACUGUGACAUUUUACUAUUUCUGCAAACUGUUUUACAUAAGUAGCUGCCCAUGAAAUUUUCAGAAGCUCUAGCUUUGAUCAAAUGCAGCUAGAGUAUUACCACAGAAGGUGUCUGGGGAAUGAAGCACGAGUGUUGUUUAUAUGCCUUUCUUAAAUACAGUAAAAAAAAGCAACCUGUCUUCAUAUUUUGAAGAUGCAUAAAAAAUCAGUUUCUCACCUUCUGGUAUUUCUGCCACCAUUUACAUGAAUACUGGUCUUCCCAUGAGACAGGUUUUGAAGGAAAUAUCUGGCAUUUAUUGAGGGAUUCUAACUGAACUGCAGACAUGGUUGAAGGCAACACACAUUCAGGAAGAAUUUGCACUUUAGCUUGCUGGAUUCUAAAAUAAAGAGAACCAAGCAUGGUGUUCAUUUUUAAAAUACACUAACUCAAACUAUUAAGUUUCUAAACAUUUUGGGUAAUUUUAAAUACUAAGAUUUUCAGUUUUCUUUUUUAAACAUAUUUAUUAGAUGCCGAUUUAAGAUGUAAUAAGAAUUUUCAGAAAAUACCGUAUUUUAGAAAUCAUACCAAAGUUAAAAUCAAAGAUAAUCUAAAGCAUAGGUUUUCAAUCUCAUGUGAAAUGCAAAGGAAGAUUUGUAUAUUUCAGAUAAAUAUACAGUUUACUAAUGAAACAAAAUUUGAAAAAUCAAAAUACAACCAUCUACUACUGCUUGAUACUUCUAAAUUCGUUUCUUAGACAUUCUUACACACCUCACCCCUCCCAGUUUCCCAUUUGCUUCCUGGCUCUUAACACUUGUCCCCUCUUCUAAGUCUAAUCUAACUGAAGGAGUAAGUAGAGAAAGCAAUAGCAAAUCAAGAACUCAUUUAUGUGGAUAGUUAAAAUAAGACUAUAAAAUUUCACGCAGCCUGUAUUUCUAUGUGCAUUUUUUCUUUCUCAUUUAAUUUGAAAACUCAAAGAAUCAAAAUAUGCAUAUUACUUUUUUUAACCUAAAAAUUAAACUCCCACGAGAGUGAACUCAUCAUUUUCAGACUGCUACUUGAGAAUAUCAUAACUGCAAACAUUUAUCAUGAACAAAUGCCAACAGGAACAUUGUACCUAUGAGCUACUUUCUUUUGAAGCAUAUCUCCUAGAGUAUAUAGCUCUUACAAUGUUGAAUGUAUUAGCACAUUCAAAUGUUGGAAGAAAUCACUGUCACACAAAGUUCAGUAUAUUAAAGUCUCUGCUUUAUUAUUAUGUUUAGAAAAUCUCAAGUGGUUUUUCAUAUUAAUUACUGCCUUAACCCACAAAAAGUUAGGAAUGAAAUUUUGAUACUUCUACUAAUUUAUUAAAUGAAAAUGGCUAACUCGGUUAGACUCAUUUCACUAACUUCAUUUCUUCCUGCAAGCUCAAAUUUAUGUCUGCAUGACUUCUGAAAAUGUUAAAAAAAAAAAACAAACAUGUUCAAACUAUAUUCAAAUAUUCUUCUAUUACUAAAGCUCAAUAAAAACAAAUAAAACCUCUAUUUUCUUCACCUGUCACAUGAACACAAAUACUUAGAAUCAUAUUUUUAAAACAAAAGUGUACACCAUUCUACAGAAAUGUUUAGAAAUCUGAUUCUUCUUCAAGGUCAUCAGCAACUAAAUUAAGAAUGAUGUUUAACUCAACUAUUCUGUAAGAUUUUAUUGCAUUACGAUAAAAACAUUAAUGAUACUGAAAAACUAGCUUAUUGAUCCUUUUAAUAAUCAGUCUGUGGUACCAGCUGUCUGAAUUGCCUUGCAGGACUCAGCAACACUCUCUGCUCCUUUUCUUAGACAUGCUCGGGGGUCUGCUAUACACACAGGGCUAGUUCUUCUCCCACCAGAUGGGUUUUGUUUUUAACAAAAGUACUUUGUUUCUUCCCAACGUGCUUAUAGUAGUUGUUUUGUGAUUAGAGUUACAUAAUUUAUAUAACUAUUAUAAAAACCAAUGAAAUGUAACUUAUAAAAUGGUUUUAAUGAUAAAGUUGAGCAAUAAAAACUUUCAAAUUAGGUUGAGACCAUUCUAAUAA